UGAGCUAAUUCCGUCAGCGGAUGGAUGCUUGUUCGUGUGUUAGGAUGACCAGAAAUAAAAGUUGUGUUGCCACUUCAUCUGCAUGCAUGCGUGUAUUUAGGUGAAGAUCGGUCCGGGAUGCAUGUGGCUUCUCUGUGUUGUGUUUCAAUGUGUUGUGUUGGAUUCAGUUAGUGUUGGCUUAUCCAGAAAUAUGAGAGGGAGGGAUGCCUGAGCUCUCUCAGCGAUUAGAGCUUCUCGGCCGUCCGAUCGUUUGCCUGGUGCGCUUUCGUCCGUCCGAUCUCGCCGCUGGAUCGUCUUGGCCGUCCAAUAUUUACCACAUCGUCUACAGCCGUCGGAUAUAUUUCCCUAUGAGCGGUGUCCCGCACGGCCGUGCCACCGCGCGUUAUUUUGGUGCCCCGCCGGGGGUAUUUUGGUCAUUUCCCUCCUGCCUAUAGAAGAGGCGCCCGCUACCGUGGGAGAGACCUAGCUCGAUUCCCUCUCUCGCCCGCGCCACCCGUUCCCCUCCUUUCCCUCUCUCGAUCUCUUCUGCAGCCCUCGCUCCCUUCCUUCCCUUCCCUCGCGCCGCCGCUCUCCUCCCUCGUUGCUCUCUCCGGCCUCAUCCGCCACCGCUCCUAUGAGCCUCCCUCCUCCCCACGAGAUCCCUUCUGCUCGAGUCGCCGAGGAGCACCUUCCCCUCCCCGUCCCCAAAGGCAGCUCCCGCACUCAACCCUAACCCUAGACCGCGCGCCCGCCCACCCCCGCUGCCUCGUGGCUUGAGCCCGCCCGCGCUGAUGGAGCCCAAGCAGCUGGCGGCCAACGUCGUCGCCGCCGCCGCCGCCGCCAAGCCGGAGGAGGACAAGGCAGACGAGGAGACGGAGACGGCCGAGGAUGAGGAGGACGCGCUGCUGGACCGCCCGCAGGCCCUCAUCUCCCGCGUCGUCGAGCAGGAGGCCAACCCCAAUCCGUACUUCAUCCACUCACGCGGAUCCGUUGGCUGCGAGUCCGGGCGCGUCGGAUCCGGUGGCCAUGGACCUACAGCUCCUCAAGGUUUGGACUUUCUGAUUUUCGAAUUACAUCAAACCUAUGUCUAGAUUGUAUAUUACACUGCCCAGCGUUAUUACGUUGUCUAGAUGGUCACACUUUUAAUGUUGAAUUGACUUCAGAUCUUCAAACAAAGGAUUUGCAGCAUAUAUAGAUGCAUUAAUGCCAAUCUUUAUCACUCUAAUACGUAUCUACUCCUACCUACUUGAAUCUUCUAUUCCCAGUUAAUUAGAAAAUUUGUUAUUUGUGGACAUCUCCUAAAUACGCAAAUUAAUUUUUAUGUUAACGAGCAGUACGUUCUGUUUUCAUUUGCGACUUGAAGGUCAGCAACGUAAAGUUUGAAUGCAUCUGAAGGCAUAUUCCAUCAUUGAAUAUAUACUAAUAUAAAGGCAGGGUUACAAUUAUGCGCAGGUAGAAAACUCGUCCAUCUGAAGAAUCACAUCCUAAUAGGAAUAGGGACUAUGGAUGACAUGUUGAUAGGAAUCUGAGAUGAUAAAAAAUAGCACUCAUCCAACUGCUAACUGAAUAUGCUGGAAAUUAGCUCGUAGUGACAUAUAUUAUUACUGUAGCAUACUGUCCUAGACUUGCAUAUUCAAAAUUAAUGCAUCUCAUGCAGUAGUGCCAUUUGUCGACACACCAUAUGAUAUAUGAAUGAAACCAUAAAAGUGUAUAUGAAACUGUAUAAUCUGGCACUUGGUUUCAUGCCUCCAGCAAUGUGAUGUCCUUUUUAUGUUAUCAUGGCGUAUUGAUAAUUAAAUGAUGAUUCACUCACCCUUGAUAAUGUCUCCUUCUCUUGAGCUAAGCACAUGCUGUCAACAUAACGGAACAACAUGGAGCUGCAGACAUGCACUUGGAGCACAGGUUGACUCGCAGAUGCGUCUGCAAUCUCCCAAACAAAUGAGUAGCACCGUGCAGUCGUGGGCUUGCAGCAGGUUGGCGGGUGAAUGGUCAUAGCGGGAAUAUAACGGGCAUGUCGACUGCUGCGAGUAUUUCAUUCAAGUUGACAACUACAGUUGCAAGAGGUGUGUUGUUUACUUGGAGAAAUUUUCGAGAAAAUCAUCAAUUUAUUUAGCAUUAGUUAAAUCAGUUUGUCGAGCUGAGCUUUUGAUCUUGAUGGUAGUGAGAAUUCUGAUGGUAGAAAAAUUCUGCUAUUGAGAUGGUUCUUCUGUUUUUUCUAUACUCCUACAAUUCUAAUGCAACAUUGCUUUUUAGUGCUAAAGUACUAGCUUACAUCCUUUCUUUUACCUUUUUCCCUUAAAAAGCCAGGUAGAAGUUCUGUUUAAACACUUGUAUAUAGAAGACUAAGAAAUUCUUUUUGUUCUUCUUGCUGUUGGCUGGUAGCUUUUAGUAGCAAUUUGGAUAAUUCUGUGCAUAAUAUUUUGUUCGAUUUUGGGGCAUGAAAGGUCAGAGAUUCUUUUAUGGGUGGAUCAUGGCCUCCAGAACAAUGCACACUAUACAGUAGCCUGAGAAAAUUGUGGUCGGUGCCUUCAUAUGGUUGUUAAAUUACUGCUCUUUUUCUAUACAGUAGCGGCACACUAUACAGUAGUCUUAUUUCCUCUUGCAUCUCCCGAAGGGGCGCCGCCGCCGGUACCGCCGCUGCUCCCCCGCCCAGCAGCGCCAUCCUCAUAUGACCGCACCACCACAGACAGUGGCCACUCGAAAAAACGGGGGCGAUGAGGAGGCCAGGACCUUGGCACAGACCCGUGCUCCCAGCACCGGAUCCCUCCUCGUCGCAGGGCCAGCCCUCCCGCCGGCUUGGUGGCCCGUGUUUGGGCAGCCGCCGCGGCGUCGUCGUCGGCGGAUGCGGUGGCGGGGGACUGCCACGGCUUCCGGCCGUGGGUUCCGGCGAUGCCAAGCUGUAGAUCUGAGCCGCCGUCUCCAUUUCAUUUCGUCCAUGUUUCGAUCUGGUACCUCCACUCCUCACCACCUCUCCCCCUCUCAUCCACCCGCCCAGCUCCUCCACUUUAAGAUGCAGAUUGAAAGCCAUCAGGCGCUUUGACUUCUAGGGAGCGUUCAUGUGUUGCACUGAUGCCUAUGGUCUGUUAAACAUCACGGUAUUCCUGUCUAAUGGAAUAAACAGGAUAGUAAUCUUGAACAAAUGCUAUACACAGACUCGCUGUAUGCCUCAUAUGCUUCGCCUUUACUGCUUAAUCUCUCACAAGUGACCUCUGCUGCUCAUACUUUUGCCUACUUAAUGCAUGCAUAAGUCUACAAUUCUUUGUGUAUAUAGUGAAAUGGGUGUAUGACAGGUUCUUUGUUUUCAAUUUUGUAGCUUAGGCACUGGGAUCUUCUUUGAAGUAAUUGAAGCUAUCCUAAUUGACAAACUAAAUUCAGUGGGUUAUACUGAGAAUCGAUACUCUGCUCAGUUGUAUUUUUACUGAAACAUGGCAUGUUGUUUUUGUUACUCGUACCAAGGUUCAGGACCUUGAUGAGUUGGCUGAUGAUCCAUGUAGUUUUGACUUACCAUGAUCUGAAUAUGUAUGUCAGUAUACAUGAUUAAGUAAUGGCUAAAUGACUGUGAUGUGUAUGUCAUCUUUAAUUGAAUUUAGAUGCUUAUUCAAUCUGAAUUUAAAUGUUUUAUCAUUCGCCAGGUCUUUGCUUGUGAUUUCUUGUGCUGUAAACUGUAAUUAAUCAUCUUUACCUGUUGUCUAUUAUCCUACAGCUGGGCUCAUGCACUUGGAAUUCUUUGCCACCUGAUAAUUAGUGAAGGUAGUAUAUCUCUGGAUCGUAAUUGGAGUGCCAACUCUUCUAACAGCUGGGUGAGAAAUUAAUGCUUAAUUAUCAUUUAUUUAACUUUAUGCUAACACAUUAGAUUAUCUGGUGAAGCACAUGUUUCAUCUUGCAUUCCCUACCUGUACAGACUAUAGACGGACAAUACAUUAGCUCUAAUCUCAGACACUGAUUAAUUAACUAUAUUACUAAUCAAAUAGUCUGCUGUUUACUGGGAGCUGCUAAUACUACUGGCUUACUCUUUGGAACCUUCGGUUGAUCUAUACAUGUGUAGCUAGCUGCUUUUCUCCAUGGCGCAUUUCGUGUAGAUACGUAGAGAUGUUGAUUAGUAAAUGCAUGCAAACUGAAUUCUGUAUUAGUUUCCAGCCAGUAGCAUCACUGAAACGACGGUUCUUCUCUAUGCGAGUUAAACGGAUUGCUUGGGUGAGAUUUUGUUAGGAUAAUCUCAGAGGUUGCUAGCAAUCAGUAGAGUUACUCAUAGUACUAAUACAUGUGCAAGUUUUCUUUAAUUAAUUUUGGUGCUUCUCCUGAUUGAAGAUGGCCGUGACCAAUAUCAGAACUUCAAAACCCCAUUAAACAUUGUUGGUAUGAAUUGGGCUUGGAAAAUACUCGAUCGAGCAGCUCCUUUGUUCUACAUUUUGGUUCAGCCUUACACACUUCACCAGGUAUAUGAAUUUAUUUAGAUGUAUGUAGAUACUUAGGUGUACAGGGACCCACUGUAUUCCUUUUCUUUUUGUAACCUCACAUUGAAAUAUCUAACUUUUUGUAUAAUGGAUCUUUUCAGAGAAUUGCCACCGCACCUAAAAAACAAUACUUUCAAUUGUAUAAAGAAAUCCAUGUAUGUGUGACAACCUUUACACGAGGUAACACACUGAUCUGCUUUGCUUCACAUGUUAUCGUCCCUGUGCCUACAUUUUCCAAUCUGAUGUGCUAUUACCGCACGUGUGACGAUGGUCGUUUGUGCUGAGGCAGGAGGGCAACAGCGUCGACAUGGCGAUCGAGUCACUCCUGAAUGCGGAGAAGCAGUGUUGCCUGGCUGGCGAUGUGGCCAGCACUAGGAAGGACAUCGUCGAGCUCUCUUUCAAGGAUGGCGCCUGGAAGACGCUUAACUACCAUAUCGUUCUCCUCUCUAAGAGGAGGGGCCAGCUCAAGUAGGUACAGCUAGCCCACCACAGCUCGCUCCUCCUCCCCCCCUUCCUGCUUUUGUCGUGACCAUGGAAAUCAAUUAUCCUCUGGAUUGACUAUGCCUUGCUUACCUUGCAUUGGGCUCAUUUUGCUGAUUGGUCGAGGGCUCGAUCCGCUGCUGACCCAACGCACACACAUGCUCACCUGUUUGUCUCUGUGCCCGUGCAGAGAAUGGCGUCAUCGGGGAGGACGGCAGUGGCGUGCCCGUGUUCGCGGAGUACACCCUCGACGAGCUACACGCCUCCACCGAUGGCUUCGCAACGGACCACAUCAUCUUCGAGCACUGCGAGAAGGAGCCUAAUGCCGUCUACCACGGACCCUCUUCAGCUCUGGCACCACCGUCGCCAUCAAGCGCUUCGACCGCUCCGCCUGGCCUGACGCACGCCAGUUCGUGGUUCGUGCCCCUUGCUUUGGUUUGCUUUGCUUCACGGGGGUGGAUCGUCACCUCGUAUGCACCAUCGUUCGACUGGCCUCUGCUGCGGAGUCUGAACUGAAUUUUGCUGACAUUUUUUUGGAUGCACAGGAGGAGGCUAGGGCAGUUGGGCUGUUGCAGAGCGGUCGCUUGUCCAACCUCAUGGGAUGAUGCUACGAGGGUGGCGAGCGGCUGCUCGUUGCUGAGUUCAUGACGCAUGAUACCUUGGCAGCUGUGAUUCGUAGUGUGGUUAGGGUUUGUUAAGUUUACUAGCUCCUUCAUUGAUGAUGGGUGGCCGGUGGUGCUUUUCUGCCGAGAAUUUAAAAAAUAACUUAUUCCCUGUGUCAUGCGGUUUAUGCAUCUCCUGCCUAUUUCUCUGUUUCAGAUAAUGGUCAUGUUUACACUCGAGUGUGUGAUUUAUGGAGGGGAGGUGCAGUCUAUCUGAAUAUUCAAUUCAUGCUUUGAUCAUGAGUAUAGAACAUUCAAAAUUAGCAAAAGCAAUUAUGCAUAGCAGCAUUGUCAAUCUUGUUGGCUAUGAAACUGCAUGUUUGUUGUUGCGGUAUGGAAAUUUACCAUGCUGCGGCAAUGGGGGUAAACUCUUACGGUGAGGUUUUUUUGUGUACCUGAAGUCCGGAGAUAAAGGUAGGGUACCUGAGGUGAGUCUUCUGCCCUUCCAUGUUUUAUUUUUUUGCGUGUCUUGAAUUUUGUAUUUAAUCAAUGUGAAUUGUUCCAUAACAAUUGCCCUGUUUUGAUUACUGUGAUCGUUAUUUACUGCUUUUGAUGGUCACUACAAAACUCGCCCUUUUUAGACAGGUGCAUCACUUGUUUGAUACAUUUUACAUCCAGGCUAUGAUGUGUUGGGCUCUUUGUUAGCCAUGUUUUGCUCAACUUUUUUUGAAGGAAAUUGCCGCAUCGAAACCAAGAUUUCCUUUUGUUGAUGGCACCAUAAGGUUGUAUUACUUUGAACACGUUUAGUUUGUACAAAGCUUCCUUUUGAUGGCUUGAAACAUGUCACUAAAUCCAGUUGAAUGAAGACACUUAUUAGUAUGCUUAGUAGCUAUGACUCGGUAGUUGUCUCUCCUAUCCUGCUCUUAUUACCCCCUCUCCUAUUAUAGCGCUUUUGGUACCGAAGUUCAUGUCGAGUGGCUGUGCUUUUGGUUUCAAACUUACUAUAAAAUUGAUCAUGCCUUAUAGUGUGACGCCGAUAAUGAGCAUCACUAUGCCUCGCUUUCAUCACAAUUGAAUGUUUCUUCUUCACUGUAUUGUUAUCAUGUAUGAAUGCAUAUGCCGUACCUGGAUUACAUGAAUGCAUAUGUUGUACAUGUAUUAAUACUAACUUUGCAUUACCCGCUUGAUCAAAACGUUGUGACCGGCACCCUCGCGCCAAGGCGCGAUCCCGAUCUAGUGAGACAUGCACGGGAGGUACCGUGCAUAGGUGAGCACUUAAUGCUUUUGGGUGGGAUCCAUGCCACUUUUUCCUCUAAAAGGUUUGAUAUAUUUUUUUUAUCUCUAUACUCUCAUAUUCAUUGAGUGUUGUGUCAAUGCUAUAUAUAUAUACGCGCGCGCGCACACACACACACACACACUAAUUACAGACUCCAAAGAAAUUCUCACGUUAAUUAGAAUUUACGGACCGUUAAUCUGAUGGGAUCAAAUUAUUAUGAUGUAGAUCUUUCGUUAGGUUUUUCAUCACAUUAAACCAUGACAUAUAUCCACAUCCGUAGGAUGACUAGCAUUGUAUCCCUUAAAAAAACUCACCAGCAACCAUGAUCUAUCUACAUCCGUAGAAUGACCUAGCUUAAACCAGUAUAUCGUCGAAAAAACAACGGCAUACCUGUAACAGCCAUGUGCGACAGGAGGACUCCUAUGCUUAUUCUCCAUUAUUCCUAAAAAUAAUAAAAAACCGAUCUGCUAUUACCCUGCCUGCCCCCAAUUGAUUCGUGUGUAUACGCAUUUAUUUCUUGACAACAAAGUUUAUUCCUUUUUUUUUCAUGCGUGCAGUUUAUCCCUAAUUUUUCUCCCCCAAUUUUAACAGUUGGGUCCGGUCUCUAAUCUCUCUCUUCUAUUUAAUCUCUCCAUCCCUGAAUUAAGGUUGGACGGUUGUGUGUAGGGUAAUCUUGUCAGGACCAGAGUCCCUCUGUGCUGAAUUUAAGCACGAACUAGUAGGUUUCAGACAAGAAUUUGGGCGAAUUUAGCUAGGGUUUUCAUUGCAAGAGGAAGGGAAAGUAGUAGCACGCCACCGGCGGCUAGGGUUUACACCCAAUAAUUCUAUUACAUGCCUCGAAUGAAAGGGAAAGCUGGCUUAUAUAGCCAUUACAGUAGCUGUAAAGCAGAAAAGCAGAAAAGUGCAAGCACAUGACUUGUCGGACGGUGAACAGCUUCUCCCGCGUCUUCUAAGCCGUUGGAUGGUUGAUCGAAGAUAAACCCACUUAAGUGAACCGUUAGCUUGGCCCUGAGACCGUAGGAUCUGAGAUGGACGGCUGUCAAUGCAACUGACACGCAGGAACAGGGGAACUUAAGAACUGAGCCUGACAAUACCCCCCGAUUAAGCUGGAGCUUGUCCUCAAGCUCUGAAUGCAGGAAAAGCUUUCUGGAUAAAGGCUGAAUCCUCCCAAGUUGCUUCCUCUGGUGGCAGAUUUGCCCAUUUCACCAACCAUCUGACUACUAGAAUGCUUAUAUUGCCUUGCUUCCUUGGAAUUAGCUUCCUCUCCAGAAUAGUUUCAGGUUCAAUUCUGAUUGUCCCAUCAGGACCAACCAGGGGAAGUUUGGAAGAAGGCACCACCUUGGGUCCAAUAUGCUUUUUAAGCUGACUGACAUGGAAUGUGUCAUGCAACUGGCAAUCUUCAGGCAAGAGCAACUUGUAUGCAUGAUUUCCAAUUUUACUCAGAAUUUUGAAUGGCCCAUAAAACUUGGAGUGUAGCUUAAUGUGCCUGUGCAGACUAAGAGAAGUAUGUAUGUGAGGUUGCAGCUUAAGAUACACCAUUUCUCCCACCAUCAACUCUCUUUCUUUUCUGUUCCUGUCAGCAAAGAAUUUCAUUCUUGCUUGUGCUUUCAAGAGAUUUUGCUUGAUCACUUCCACUGCUAGCUCUCUGUUCUGCAACAGAUCCUCAUUGUCCACACAAAUAGUGUCAGGCAGAGCUGAUUCAGCCACCAUAGGAGGAGCAAAACCAUAAAGAGCUUGGAAAGGUGUCAUUUUCAGAGAUGUAUGGAAAAAGGUGUUAUACCACCACUCAGCUAAGGCCAGCCAUCCAUGUCAUUUCCUUGGUUUUUGGAAGCACAUACAUCUUAAAUAAUUCUCCAAGCACUGAUUCACUCUCUCUGUUUGCCCAUCUGUUUGUGGAUGAUAACUAGUGCUCAGGUGCAAUUUAAUGUUCAGUGACUUGAAAAGCUUUUGCCAGAGAUUACUAGUGAAGAUUCUAUCUCUGUCAGUCACAAUAACUAGUGGCAUGCCAUGAAGUUUAAACACAUUUUCAGAGAAGGCUCUUGCUACAGACUGGACUGUGAUGGGAUGCUUCAUAGCAAUGAAAUGAGAGUAUUUAAUGAACCUGUCAACCACCACUAGAAUCAAGUUUUUGUUCUCUGAAAUGGGCAAACCCUCUACAAAAUCCAUACUAAUAUGUGCCCAUGCAAAAUCAGGAACAGGGAGUGGCUCUAACAGCCCAGGGUAAGGUGUAUGUUCAGAUUUGUUCAACUGGCAGACAGGGCAAUUUUUCACAAAUGUGAUUACAUCUUGCUUCAUUCCUUGCCAAUGAAAUACUAGUUUUAUUCUCUGAUAAGUAGCUCGUUCACCAGAGUGUCCACCCAGCUCAGAGUUGUGAAAUGUAGCUAGUAUUUGCUGCCUCGGGUUAGUGCUUUUUCCCACUACCACCUUAUUGUGAAACCUCAAUAUACCAUUCUUAAAGGAAUAAGCAUUACCAGUGCUUUUAUCCACAGAACACUCAACAAUUAGUUCCUUGAUUUUGCCAUCCUGCUGAUAACUGCUCACUACUUCCUUAACCCAAGUAGGCAAGGCAGUAGUAGUAAAUAUUGCAGAAACUGCAUGUUUUACUCUAGAUAGUGCAUCAGCAGCCCUGUUCUCCUUGCCCUUCUUGUACUUUAUAGUAAAAUUAUAUCCAAGUAACUUUAAUAGCAGCUUGUGUUGGAUACCCUCAGUAAUUUUCUGCUCUUGGAUGUACUUCAAGCUCUCCUGAUCUGUUCUGAUUAUUAGAGAAGUAGUAGAGAAAUAAUGUUUCCAUUUCUUCACAGCUUCAAUAAUAGCCAUAGCUUCUUUGUCAUAAGUACUUAGUGCAGCAGCUUUAGGGCCAAUACUCUUACUGAAAUAAGCAAGUGGCCUGCCCUCUUGCAUUAGUACAGCCCCAAGCCAUAUCCACAAGCAUCAGCUUCCAAUAUAAAUGGCUUUUUGAAAUCUGGCAGGGCCAGGACAGGUGCAUGAGUGAGUUUCUGUUUUAGUGCUUCAAAUGCUUGUUGUUGCUCCUUUGCCCAAGCAAAAGGGUCCUUCUUCAAGCAGUCAAAGAGAGGCCUGCAGAUUAUCCCAUAUCCCUGGAUAAACCUUCUGUAAUAUCCACUUAAACCCAGAAAACUCCUCAAUUCAGUGACAGUAGUUGGAGCAGGCCAUGACUUGAUAGCCACAAUCUUUGUAGGGUCAGUAGAAACUCCUUCAGAGUUAAUGACAUGGCCCAAAUACUCAAUCUCCUUCUGACCAAAAGAACAUUUUUCUAACUUGGCAUAUAACUUAUUUGCUUGCAAUAUAUCAAAUACUUGCUUGAGAUGCUUCAAAUGUUCUUCCAUGGAAAAACUGAACACUAGAAUAUCAUCAAAGAAUACCACUACAAACUUGAGAAGACCAAAUAGGAGAUUCAUUAAAGCCUGGAAUGAAGGAGGUCCAUUAGUAAGUCCAAAUGACAUUACUAAAUACUCAAAUAAUCCCAUAUGAGUUACAAAUGCAGUUUUUGGAAUAUCCUCCUCAACCAUUCUGAUCUGGUGAUAGCCAUUUCUCAAAUCAAUUUUUGAAAAUACUUUUGCUCCUUUGAGUUGGUCCAACAGAUCUUCUAUAACUGGAAUGGGAUAUUUGUUUUUGAUUGUAAUUGCAUUUAACUUUCUAUAGUCAGUACAGAGCCUCCAUGACCCAUAUUUUUUCUUAACUAACAGCACAGGGGAGGAGAAUGGACUAGUGCUGGGCCUGAUAAUACCAUUCUUCAGGAGUUCCAAGAUAAUCUUCUCCAGGAUUUCUUUUUGAUGCUGAGGAAUUCUAUAUGGCCUUUGGUUAACCACUUUUGCUCCCUCUACCAAAGGAAUUCUAUUAUCACAGGGCCUACUUGGUGGAAGUUCAGUAGGUUCCUGAAACAGUUUCUCAUACUGAUCCAAUAGUGGUUUGAAUGCAGCAAGAAUUUCUUGAGCAGCUGCUACCAUUUGAGGACCAGAAGUAGUAAACAAGGAGAAUCCACACACAGCUUGUUCCACUAAUUUCUCAGUGUGGUCAGUUACUUCAGUAACAGUAGUAAGAGGUACAGUUUCAUCCACAAAAGUGAUAAACUGCCCUUUAGGAGCAGAUAUCUUCAUUUCCAUCUUAAUGAAAUCCAUUUGUAUGGGGCUAUAUUUCCUCAACCAAUCUACUCCUAAGAUGAUGUCAUAGCCUUUUAACUUUAGUACUCUGAAGCUGUCAAUAAAUGCAUGGCCUUGUAUUGCAUAGUGACAGUUCUUUGCUUGGAAUUCACUCCAAAGGAUCCCUCCACUAGCAACUACUACUUUAGUUUUUGGUGUAGGACUGGGAACAACAUCCAACUUACUAGCCAUCUGAGGAGAUAUAAAAGUAGUAGUACUGCCACUGUCCACCAGUGCAAUUGCCAGAGUAUUUCCCAAUUUAACUGUCAAUAUGAAAGUAUUUUUAGUUGCUCCAAUGCCCAUGGCAGCAUGCAUUGAUACUUUCAGUACUGUUUCCUCAGUUAGCUGCUCUGUAUUGUCUAGCUCCUGAUCAUCAUAUUCUACCACAAAUAUAGUUUUAGGAGUUCCAUCUUCUUGAGCUUGUAGAGCUUGGAUUUGAGCUUUCUGGUUCAUUUUACACACUUGCCUAUGACCAGGCACCCAAGGCUCUCUACAUUUAUAACACACCUGGUUCUGUUUGGCCUGCUGAAUAACCACAUUCCUGUUUUGUGGUGCAGUUGGAAGCAGUUGUUUGGGCUGUUCAAAAAUGACUUGUCUUUUUGGUUGAGGAACAUACUGCUUAUUUUGCACUGACUGAGAGGAAGGCUGAGAUUUCUUCGUUCUUCUGGCAUACCACACUGCAGUUUGCAGAUCUUUUGGUUUAAAACAUUCCACUAAACUUCUGAUGUAAGGGUUGAGGCCUGAGACAAAGCUGGAGACAUAAUAGUCAUCAGGUAUAGCAGGGUUUUCUCUCCUCAUUCCAUUGACCAAUUGCUCAAAUUGUUCCACAUAAGCAGCCACUGUUGUUGCUUGAUGUGCAGCAUGAAAGUUACUGACCACAUCACAAGCUGAUUCCACAGAGAACCUAUCAGGUAGGUAAGAACAGAAUUUAUGCCAUGGCACAUUGGAGGGUGCAUAUCCAGUACCCCUCCACCACUGAAUAGCAGGUCCUUUAAGAUAAGAAAUUGCCAGUUCUGUUCUAUGUUCAAUGGGAGUUCUUGCAGCAGCAAAAUACUGUUCCAAAUUCUGAAUCCAUGACUCAGGAUCUUGUCCUUCAAAUUCUGAUAUGUUCAACUUAGCAGGCUUAACAGUCAGAACACCUUUUUCUGUAAUAAUUCUCAACUCCAUCUUCUUCCUAUAUUUCCUCCAACUGAACUACAUUUCUCUGCACUGCCUGAAACUGUUCCUUGUCCUUACUCUGACCAUAGUGUGGGUGCCUGUAGGGAACCUUAGGAGUCCCAUCCAUAUUCAGUUCCUUACCAGCCUGAUCACGCAGAACAGCUGUCCCAAUUGGAACAGGGGCAACUUUGUCAGGCAUUGCCACCGAUGGUGGUGUAGGAGCUUGGAGCUGCUUGGGCCUACCCGGAGCUACCCGAGGUGAGUUAACUUGGUUGUCCUUAACCUGCACACUGCCUUGACCUUCUUCAACCUGAUCCUCCUGUGCUGGCUCGGAUUCUAACAACAGACGCCUGAAAUUAUCCUGAAUUUUCUCAAAGUUCUUUUGCAUCGUUGCAAAAUUUCUGUUUACAGAUGCCUGAAACUGCUGGAACUCCUUGCGAUCCUCUUCUCUCUCCCGCUGGAGCGUUUUGAUGUCCAACUCAAGGGAAUCCAGCUGCAAUUCGGCCGUUGACCCUGAAUCCACCGGGCCCGUCAUCUUAAAAUCGUCGGCAAUCAACACCAUAGAGGGUUGGGAGGGUGGGAGGACUAGUCACCGCCGCCUACGCCGCCGCCAGCGCCCGCCUCCGAUGGUACACGAGCAGAUCACAGGAGCUGGGAUUUCACUACCCGAAAAGUGUUCCCGGGCAACCAGACUAUUCUUCUGCUUGUACCCGAACUCUGCCACUCCGGCCGCCACCAGAUGCCGCCAGAUCGGGGUGAGAUGAGGGAUUUUACAGUCGGAACCAACCUCUUCUACCCCCAAUCAACCACGCCGCCGAGGAAGGACUGGCUCACGAUACCAAUUGUCAGGACCAGAGUCCCUCUGUACUGAAUUUAAGCACGAACUAGUAGGUUUCAGACAAGAAUUUGGGCGAAUUUAGCUAGGGUUUUCAUUGCAAGAGGAAGGGAAAGUAGUAGCACGCCACCGGCGGCUAGGGUUUACACCCAAUAGUUCUAUUACAUGCCUCGAAUGGAAGGGAAAGCUAGCUUGGUUGAUCAAUUCGAGGACUCCCAUGCGUGCCUACUUCGUGAUGCUAGCUAUAUGUUGCAGAAGUCAGAUGCUAGGCAAAACUAUUAUAUCAUACUAAGUUCUAAAAUUAAUCUUGAAAGAGAAUAAGCUAAUGAUGUUGAAGAUUAUGCAGUUCCAGUGCCUGGAAGACCAUAUGGUAUUUUCCGAGCCUAUGUCUAUGAAUCAAACAUUGAUGGCAACGACGCAUGCCAAAGUCCUGCAUCCUGUAUCGAGAACAGCGCGAUGGGCGUGUGAAGCCGUGAGCCUACGAAGCCCAACAGAGACAAUGGCACGAGCAAUAUAAUUAUGAUUUCAUGAGAAGAAAAAAGCACAAUGUGUGGGCGGCAUGACCGUGGAGUCCGGCCAGCCAGCAAUCGUGGCAUGCGCCACCAUGGACCAGCAGUCCGUUUAGCCGCUAUGGCAGAGAUUAGCUCUGGCACGAGCGAGUGCAGUUGCAAGCAGCAGUACGGCUUGUUAGUACUAAUCUUGAUGCAUAUAGUUAGUUGGUUAGUGGAUUAGACUAGUUGUUAGUUGCAUGCAUAGGUUAGUGCAGCAGGUGCCGUUGUGAUCUGUUGGACGUUGGCCGCGUCGUGCGUGCUGGCCGAGCGGAUCGCUCGCAUGCAGGCUAGGUGUGCGUGGGUGCAUGCACGGUGGAAACUUGGGUGUUGCGUAGCUGCUGUACUACAAACCUGGUUGGGCUGUUCAUGCUUGUAUAGAGCCGGGUUGUGAGCCAUGUAGCCGAGUGGCUGAGUUUGUGCUCAGGUAAGGAAAUACACAAGGACGCCGUACGUGCGGCGGGCGGAGUUCGUGCUCCGGCAAAACACUUGUGUACUUGCGUCUCCCUUCUUCUUCUACCUCGGUCCGCUGCAGAACAAGAGAGCUGCGAGAGGUAGGCGAGAGCUAGGACUCGACGGCAACAACACGGCUGCCGCGCGCUGUCGACGGUGAGUUGGUCCAGCCGUCUGCAACGACGCCUUGAAGCACAGCCUCCGUGAAUGUCAUAUACCACUGGUAGAAAAAGAGGCUUCCGUCCAGCCCCAUUAGUCGCGAAACUGUAGGAACCGCGACUAAUGAAGUCUUUAGUCGCGGUUCGGCAGACGAACCGCGACCAAAGGCCUGGGCCCAGGGCGCUCGGUGGCCAGCUGAUGCACGUGAGGGGCUUUAGUNNNNNNNNNNNNNNNNNNNNNNNNNNNNNNNNNNNNNNNNNNNNNNNNNNNNNNNNNNNNNNNNNNNNNNNNNNNNNNNNNNNNNNNNNNNNNNNNNNNNNNNNNNNNNNNNNNNNNNNNNNNNNNNNNNNNNNNNNNNNNNNNNNNNNNNNNNNNNNNNNNNNNNNNNNNNNNNNNNNNNNNNNNNNNNNNNNNNNNNNNNNNNNNNNNNNNNNNNNNNNNNNNNNNNNNNNNNNNNNNNNNNNNNNNNNNNNNNNNNNNNNNNNNNNNNNNNNNNNNNNNNNNNNNNNNNNNNNNNNNNNNNNNNNNNNNNNNNNNNNNNNNNNNNNNNNNNNNNNNNNNNNNNNNNNNNNNNNNNNNNNNNNNNNNNNNNNNNNNNNNNNNNNNNNNNNNNNNNNNNNNNNNNNNNNNNNNNNNNNNNNNNNNNNNNNNNNNNNNNNNNNNNNNNNNNNNNNNNNNNNNNNNNNNNNNNNNNNNNNNNNNNNNNNNNNNNNNNNNNNNNNNNNNNNNNNNNNNNNNNNNNNNNNNNNNNNNNNNNNNNNNNNNNNNNNNNNNNNNNNNNNNNNNNNNNNNNNNNNNNNNNNNNNNNNNNNNNNNNNNNNNNNNNNNNNNNNNNNNNNNNNNNNNNNNNNNNNNNNNNNNNNNNNNNNNNNNNNNNNNNNNNNNNNNNNNNNNNNNNNNNNNNNNNNNNNNNNNNNNNNNNNNNNNNNNNNNNNNNNNNNNNNNNNNNNNNNNNNNNNNNNNNNNNNNNNNNNNNNNNNNNNNNNNNNNNNNNNNNNNNNNNNNNNNNNNNNNNNNNNNNNNNNNNNNNNNNNNNNNNNNNNNNNNNNNNNNNNNNNNNNNNNNNNNNNNNNNNNNNNNNNNNNNNNNNNNNNNNNNNNNNNNNNNNNNNNNNNNNNNNNNNNNNNNNNNNNNNNNNNNNNNNNNNNNNNNNNNNNNNNNNNNNNNNNNNNNNNNNNNNNNNNNNNNNNNNNNNNNNNNNNNNNNNNNNNNNNNNNNNNNNNNNNNNNNNNNNNNNNNNNNNNNNNNNNNNNNNNNNNNNNNNNNNNNNNNNNNNNNNNNNNNNNNNNNNNNNNNNNNNUGUUGAAGAAUAUGUUUCCAAAGGAUAACGAGUUGCCCGCCAGUACGUACGAAGCAAAGAAGGUUGUCUGCCCUCUAGGUUUAGAGGUUCUGAAGAUACAUGCAUGCAUCAACGACUGCAUCCUCUACCGCGGUGAAUACGAGAAUUUGAAUGAAUGCCCGGUAUGCACUGCAUUGCGUUAUAAGAUCAGAGGCGAUGACCCUGGUGACGAUGUUGAGGGCCAGAAACCCAGGAAGAGGGUUCCCGCCAAGGUGAUGUGGUAUGCUCCUAUAAUACCACGGUUGAAACGUCUGUUCAGGAACAAAGAGCAUGCCAAGUUGUUGCGAUGGCACAAAGAGGACCGUAAGUCGGACGGGGAGUUGAGACACACCGCAGAUGGAACGCAAUGGAGAAAGAUCGACAGAUGGUUCAAAGAUUUUGCAGCUGACACAAGGAACAUAAGAUUUGCUCUAAGUACGGAUGGCAUGAAUCCUUUUGGCAAGCAGAGCUCCAGCCAUAGCACCUGGCCCGUGACUCUAUGCAUCUACAACCUUCCUCCUUGGUUGUGCAUGAAGCGGAAGUUCAUUAUGAUGCCAGUGCUCAUCCAAGGUCCGAAGCAACCCAGCAACGACAUCGAUGUGUACCUAAGGCCAUUAGUUGAUGAACUUUUACAGCUGUGGGGUGGUGUCCGUGUGUGGGAUGAGCACAAACAAGAGGAAUUUGACCUACGAGCGUUGCUUUUCGUAACCAUCAACGAUUGGCCUGCUCUUAGUAACCUUUCGGGACUGUCAAAUAAGGGAUACAAUGCAUGCACGCACUGCUUACAUGAGACUGAAAGUGUACAUUUGCCAAAUUGUAAGAAGAACGUGUACCUUGGGCAUCGUCGAUUUCUUCCGAAAAUUCAUCCAGUAAGAAAGAAAGGCAAGCAUUACAACGGCAAGGAAGAUCACCGGCCGAAGCCUGCGGAACGCACUGGUGCUGAGGUAUUUGAUAUGGUCAAGAUUUGAAAGUCAUCUUUGGAAAGGGUCCUGGCGGACAAUCAGUUCCGAAGGGAGCUGACGGGCACGCAGCCAUGUGGAAGAAGAAAUCUAUAUUCUGGGAGCUAGAAUAUUGGAAAGUCCUAGAUGUCCGCUCUGCAAUCGACGUGAUGCACGUUACGAAGAAUAUUUGCGUGAACCUCCUAAGCUUCUUGGGCGUGUAUGGGAAGACAAAUGAUACAAAGGAAGCACGGCAGGACCAGCAACGUUUGAAAGACCCUGAUGACCGGCAUCAGGAAUGGUUUCAAGGUCGUGCCAGCUACGCUCUGACCAAAGAAGAGAAGGUCAUCUUUUUUGAAUGCCUGAGCAGUAUGAAGGUCCCGUCUGGAUUCUCGUCCAAUAUAAAGGGAAUAAUAAACAUGGCGGAGAAAAAGUUCCAAAACCUGAAGUCUCACGACUGCCACGUGAUUAUGACGCAAUUGCUUCCGAUUGCUUUGAGGGGGCUCCUGCCGGAAAAUGUUCGAGUAGCCAUUGUGAAGCUAUGUGCAUUCCUCAAUGCAAUCUCUCAGAAGGUAAUCAAUCCAGAAGUUCUACCACGGUUACAGAACGAUGUGAUCCAAUGCCUUGUCAGUUUCGAGUUGGUGUUCCCGCCAUCCUUCUUCAAUAUUAUGACGCACCUCCUGGUUCACCUAGUCGAAGAGAUUUUCGUUCUCGGUCCUGUAUUUCUACACAAUAUGUUCCCCUUCGAGAGGUUCGUGGGAGUAUUAAAGAAAUAUGUUCGUAACCGUGCUAGGCCAGAAGGAAGCAUCGCCAAGGGCUAUGGAAAUGAGGAGGUAAUUGAGUUUUGUGUUGACUUUGUUCCUGACCUUAAGCCGAUUGGUCUUCCUCGAUCGCGGCACGAGGGGAGACUAAGUGGAAAAGGCACGAUCGGAAGGAAAUCAACGAUAUGUAUGGACGGCCAUUCUCUGACUGAAGCACACCACACUGUACUGGCCAAUUCCAGCUUGGUGGCUCCGUACUUUGAGAAACACAAGAAUAUUUUACGCUCGGACAACCCGGGGAAGCCUGAAUCCUGGAUUAGGAAGGCCCACAUGGAGACUUUCGGCAGUUGGUUGAGAAAACAUUUAAUGAAUGACAAUGAUGUUGUAGAUCAGCUGUACAUGUUGGCCAAGACACCAUCUUCGACUAUAACGACUUUCCAAGGGUACGAGAUAAAUGGGAAUACAUUUUACACGAUCGUCCAAGAUAAAAAGAGCACCAACCAAAACAGUGGUGUCCGCUUUGAUGCAGCAACCGAGAAUGGGCAAAAGGUCACAUAUUAUGGUUACAUAGAGGAGAUAUGGGAACUUGACUAUGGACCCUCCUUUAAGGUCCCUUUGUUCCGGUGCAAAUGGUUCAAGCUAACAGGAGGUUGGGUAAAGGUGGACGAGCAAUACGGAAUGACAAUGGUGGAUUUCAACAAUCUUGGUUACCUUGACGAACCAUUCGUCCUUGCCAAAGAUGUCGCUCAGGUUUUUUAUUUGAAGGACAUGAGUAGCAAACCGAGGAAACGGAAAGAUAAGAAAACGAUCAGUACAUCAUGCGAUGAUCCAAAGCGCCACAUUGUUCUUUCAGGGAAAAGAAACAUCGUGGGAGUGGAGGACAAGACAGACAUGUCAGAAGAUUAUAAUAUGUUUGGUGAAAUUCCGCCCUUCAAAGUGAACAUUGACCCAAGCAUUAAGUUAAAUGAUGAGGAUGCUCCAUGGAUACGGCACAAUCGUAAGCAAGCAGGGACACAAGGGAAGAAUUGAUGUGUAAUAAUUUAUUGUACCAAACUUUGUAUUUGGUCGAUGAACUGAAUGAUGUAUCAAACCUUUUGUCAAACCUUCAAGGGGUUUUAAAAUGAAUUAGUUUUAUUUUUCUGAUUUUUUUGAUAUAUAAUUGUAUUUUUAAGAUUUUAAAAUGAAUUAGUUUUAUUUUUCUGAUUUUAAAAGGAAAAAGGAAGAAGAAGAAAGAAGGAAAAAGGAAGAAAAAAACAGAAGAAAAAAACAGAAGAAAAAAGGAAAAACAGAAGAAAAAAACAAACAGAAGAAAAACAUAAGAAAAAAACAGAAGAAAAACAAACCCCCCGCCCUGCACAUGGGCCAUCCCGACCCCACAUAUGUUCGUCUCCAUCCGCAUCCCUGGCCAAACCCUAGCCACUCUACUCCAAGCUCUGUUCGGACAAUUUGUUUAUACGGAGAGGGGCGGCGAGGGGGGCGGCGAUGCGCGCGGUGUUUUUUUAGGGAUCGAGAGGGGACGGCGAGGGUUAUAAAUGUGUUGUCCUCGCCUCCCCUCUCCGUGACGCCGUCGUCUGCCGCCCCGUCUCGCGCUCUACCGCGACACCCUCUCCCACCCCUUCCUCGCCCCCUCCUUUCGCCACCGCCCUUUCGCCACCGCCACCGCCACCGCCCCCCUUCUUCACUUAAUUAAUUUGUUUUUACUACAUGUUUUCAGGACUGACAUAAUGGCGGACGAUAGAGCUGACCCGAUUAUGGACAACUAUGAUCCGGACGGUGAAGCACAUAUGUUCGGCAUCAUAAACGGCGAUAUUCUAUAUGUGCCGACCGGAGAAGAAGAAGAUGAUAUCUCUUCUUAUCUGAACCUUGACGGUGAAGAUGAAGGGCGCCGUCAGCAAGAUGAUGCCGAACAAACGUUGAUAAACGACGAUCUUCAAAUGGAAGUAGCAACCACCUCCGGCGCCGAGGUAUAUAUAUACAUUGAGCCUCUGGUGAUACAAACUAACUGAUUUGAAUAAAUAUGUGUGUACUAACGCGCGCGACUCUUUCUUAUUUUAGCCCUCGACCGGAUCGUCGAAACAAUCGAGUACGUCGUCAAAGCGUGGCGCAACCAAGACGAUGAAACAAGGAGAAACAUGCACCAUCGAGGUUGUCGACAGUGCAACCGGCAGGCCGCUGGAGCCCCGCAAGAACGCCACCAAGUUUGUCAGCCAAUGCGGAGCCAUUGUUAGAGACAACGUCUCGAUCACCGUCCAGGAGUGGAAUGAGCCAAAGAAGGCACGAAUUGAUGGUUUCACUUUUGUCGAUAAGAGAACAAAAAAAGAUUGCUUCAAGAAGCUUAUGGAACAUUUCGUUCUACCUCCGGAAUACAACAAAUUCGAUGAGGAGGGUAACAAGAUUGAGGAAAACAAGGAGAGGAGGAGGCUAGUCAAACAGUUCGCUCUUCAUAAGAUGGCCGACGCAUUCCGGAAAUUCAAGCAAAAUCUAGCCCAUGACUUUGUCAAGCAGAACAAGACUCCGGAUUUCAAAGGACAAUAUGAGAAACUGAAACAUGAUUGGCCAGAAUUUGUGAAGCAAAAGAAAUCGGAGCAGUUCAUUCAAAUAUCGAAAAAAAAUAAGGAAAAUGCGGCUAAGAAGGAGUACAAUCAUGUUAUGGGGCCAGGAGGGUAUCGCAUUUGGGUGCCUAGGUUGGAGAAGAUGGAGAACGAGCUGAGGGCGCGAGGAAUCCGUCCAGGUACGGAGGGAUGGGACCUAAGGGCCAAAAGCUGGUGGUACGGGCAUGGGGGAACGCUGAACCCGGAGACAGGGGAGUGUGUUUACCGGGGCAAAUUAAUUAAACCCACCCAAGCCCUUAUUAACGCAAUGAGGGAUGCUCAACAGGGGAAGAUCAAGUUCAACAGAGAGAACGACGCGCUGACAAAAGCCCUCGGGAAUCCUGAACACGGAGGACGUGUACGAGGCAUGGGGCACAUUCCGUGGAAAAUAGGGUUCCCCCAGAACGAUGACCCGUACGGUUACAGAAGCCGUAAGAGAAAGAUGGAUCGGGAAGCAGAUGUUGUGGCGCGGUUGGCAUCGGAAAUGGAUGUGAUGAAGAAAACCAUGAGUGUACUAGUAGCCGAAAGAGAUGCAGCUCGGGUGCAGCAUGAAGAUCAUCCAGCGGAUCUCGGAAGCCAGCAGCGGAGAAGCAGCGUGGCUUCCACGGAGGCCCCACCGGCUGGUGCAGAUGCACCGACGAUCGAAAUUACUGCACCGGAGCCUCUGGUGGUCCAAAUUACUGCACCGGAGCCUCUGGUGGUUGAAAUUACUUCACCGGAGCCUCCUCGCUACCCCGUGGACGAUAUAAAGGAGAUGAAAGAAUGUCAUCUGUAUUAUCCUAUCGGGAACAUGUCCAUGAAGGUAGCCAUCGGCAGUGCUUUACCAUGUUUACCUGGAGCACUCCACCACAACAACCCCAUUCAAGAUGGCUAUGCUCGUGUCACGGUGGAGGACAUAGUCCAAGGGUUUGAGGACCUGGAGAUUGACAUUGCUACACCUGAAGGGGAGAAAAGACUUGGAGAUGUCAAGCGCCAUUUCAUUCUAUGGCAAAAGAAGUUUAUCAAGUUUCCAGGCGAGGCGCCAAGGACAACAAGUCCACCCCCCUACGGUGGUGGUGGUGGCGGUGGCGGUGGUGGUGGUGGUGGUGGUGGUGGCGGUUCACCUACACCUCCGUCACGUCAGCCGACGCCGCCCCCCAGUCCACAACGUCCGGCGGGUGAUCAGCCGCCGCCCCCCAGUCCUCGUCCGGCGGGUGAUCAGACGCCGCCCCCCAAUCCACCUCCGGCAAAGAAGCAGAAGCAGUCCUGGAUUAUUAACCCGGACCCUUAUGUACCUAAGACCACAAAGGUACCGGAGCCAUCACUGAAGCCUCUCCCCACAAGGCCUUGGGAACGUAGUGCCGAGGAAGUCGACGCGGCCGCGGCUGCUGAUUUGGAGAAAUGGAAGGCGGACUGCAAGAAGAAAAGAGAGCCCGAGCCCAAGCCAGUAUUUUCUGAUGAGCAAAAGAAGUGGGCUAAGUCAUUUUUGAGCACACCGUCCCAAGCCGCGAAGAAUCUGACUAACGACUAUGCACGUGAACUUCGCAGGCAGGCACUCAUGUUCAAGGAGAACAAAGAGCGGGAGAAGGCCGAAAGUAAAAAAAGCGGGAAACAAGUUGCCCAGCUCGGGGAACAAAGUAAACAAUCGAUUGCCCCGCUUAUAGUGGAAGCCUUCUGUCCGGAUGCCCCCGAGAUCAUACAAGCUGCGGCAGCACAGGGAUUGACUGUAACGAGUGCCAGAGAACAAGCGGCCAACUUAGGUAUUACUCUUCGUGAACUGUUAGGCCUUGAUGAGGCGCCAGUGAAGGAGGUAGUAAUUACAUAUGUCAAGAAUGGGCCUCUCGUCGAGCCUGCGCAAGAAAAGGAUCUACCUCCACAAAUGAAAGGUCUGCUGAAAUGGUACAAGGGUUACAUAAAAAAUAAAAACGCCAAAGAAUAUAUUUAUGCGGAAGUUAGACAUGAGCAUCACUUCAAACAUUACUAUGUACAAAUUGAACUGAGUGAAUUGUUCCAGCUUUUCAAUCUGCGCGAGCUCGAUAAAUCUAUCAUCAGUUGCUACGUUCUGUAAGUGAUUUAUUAAUUUCUACCCCAUCUCGUUCAUAUUGCCUGCACUAUAUAUAUGUCCUAACUAUAUUGUUGUGUCCGCUAUUAUACAUGUAGAAUGAAGAUUAAGGAAUGCAGAGUAAGGAACAUCCAUGAUGUUGGGUUCAUUGACCCACACAUCGUUAAUGGACAUGUGUUGGAGCGUUACCCCGCCGACAUGGAGGCAGACCUGUGGCAGUUUCUUACAAAGCAGGAACUCAAAAGUGAUAUUCUAUUUCCUUACCAUUUUGAGUGAGUGUUUCUGUCUUGAGAACAUUCUCUUUUGUUUACUCCAUGCAUGGUAUGUGGCCGGCUAAUCGAUGAGUUAUGCAUGACGUACUGUGCAUGUAUCGUGUCCGCAGGUUCCACUGGAUUCUGCUAGUAAUUAAAGUUAACACCUCAGAAUGUCUCGUCCACGACUCUGUGAAUAUGGAUCCAAAGCUUUGGGGCGGCAUGAGAAGAAUGCUGCAGAAGUAAUUAUUUUCAUUCAUUUGCGCUCUAUAUCGAUCGGCCUAUUUCGUUCAUUUCCUAAUAUCAAGUAACUAAUUAAUAACUCUCUUGUUCAUUUAAUUUUCUUUGCCUCGUAGGGUUUGGAGACGGUUCGUAGAUACAAAGGUCGGUGAAUUCAAAAAAGAGCUAGAAUUCAAAAUGUUAAAGGCUAAGAAUGCUGGGGAUAUUCAGCCACCGGAGACCAAUCUAUGUGGAUACUAUGUCUGUGAGAUGAUCCGGAGAUACACCUCUGAGCGGGUUCCGAGUGAUACCAAUGCUAAGAGGAAUAACCUCCGGUGGAUGCUUAAUCCAGAAGCUCGCUUCCGACCACUUCAAGAGGAACUAGCUGGAUGGUUCAGCAGGGAAGUCCUCCAUCCUAAAGGAGAACACUAUUACGAGGACGUAGAACUUUAUAUGCAUUAAAUCAUGUAUGGAAACUUGUUCAAAAUUGUAUAUGGUCAUCCGAUGAUAUUGAAUAUAUAUUGUAUAUUCCUCUUGAAUUCUUUUUGGUUCUAAUUUCAAAUUUAUUUGAAAUUGUACAUUCAUAUGCAUGUAUGUAGUACCGUAGAAUAUAUGAAACUCCUUCAAAAUUAAAAUAAAGCACAAAAGAAAUAAAACAAUACAAAUUAAACAGAAAACAGGUUUAAGGGGGGGGGGCUAAAACCCUAAACCUGCGGCGGCCUUUAGUCGCGGUUGGCCAGAAGAACCGCGACUAAAGGUCCUCCGCCCCGACGGCCACCUGGCGCCCACGUGGACGGGCCUUUAGUCGCGGUUUUUAAGCAACCGCGACUAAAGGGGGGGGGGGCUUUAGUCGCGCCCGUUCGGUCGCGGUUGCGCAACCGCGACUAAUGGCAGUUGCGAACCGCGACCAAAGGCCCUUUUUCCACCAGUGUACUCCUGUCAGCCAACGCAACAAUGUGUCGUGCUUCCACCAUGGACGAGCCGUCAGACAGGCUGCCAGCAACGAGCUGCUUCGGCGCUGCGUCACACCGUUUGGCCGCCAUUGUCGAGGCCUUUCGGCAUGGCCACCAUAUACGCAAUGCAAAAUAAGACCUAAUCCACAUGCCUGUCAGAAUCGAGAAUCACCUUUUUGGGAUUGAGAAUAGACGGGAAGUGGGAUUAGCGUGCUUUGAGAUUGUCGAGGCCACCUGGCGCUCAUCCAGUAGGGUCUCACGUCCUUGCCUAUGAAUCAUUUAAGCUGCUUGGGAAGUCAGCUUACCUACAUGUAAGUGCCUUUCUGUGCAAUGUGAGUUACACCCUGUGCCCAAUGGCAAAAUCCUCACUUCGCGCUGUCAAUAUCCGCCGUUCUGAUUCUUUUCUAUUGCCUAAUGUCGCUAAAUCUAAUGGUCUUCUUCAGCUUCUCCGGGUGGAUUGCCUAUUUCCUAUUGAUGUUGUUGGCACUCAUAUCAAGUAUACCUGCUCUCCAAUAGAUGUAUUGUUUUAUCUCUAUAACUGAUUAUGAAUGAAACAGGCAAUGUAUUACGUGCAUGCCUCAUGGCUAUGUAUUUCUAUACCGACGGUGUUGCCAUGUAGCCAGAUUUAUGGCAUGAGAAGGUAAAACAUAGUAUUAGUGAAGGAUUUACCAGAAACAUUGUUACAUGAACAUUGUCAACUACCAGAAAUUAUAUACAUUUAUGUAUUAAUAGGCCAUUUUUCUUGGUGCAUUUUGAUAGUAUGUUCUGUUGACAUCCAUGAUGAAACACGAUGAUACAAAAAAUAUGUAGAUAUACUUUUCUUUGAGAUUAGGCUGUCACAUUAGACAAUUUGCCAAGAUUGUUGUGUACAAGUGUGGUCAAAUUAUGUGCAAUUAGUCAGUGCUAAUUUGUUCGUGAAAUUCAUAUAUUGGCAUCAGAUUAUACAUGCGUAUCAAUUUAGCACAAAUUUACCAAAUGAAGUUUAAUAAGAUUAUGAUUAUUUUAAGCAUUUUCCACAACGCAAACUAUUGAAGAAUGAUUUUGGUUAUACUAAUAUGAGAAUGUACAACAACCCUGCGAAUUCUGCUGCAAAUAUAUACUUAUGUACAUAUAGACUAGAAAAAAUUGACGACGACCGACAACUUCGACAAUAUUAGUAAUCAACAAGUUUCUUGCUAUAUUAUAUUCGUGAAUAAACAGAGCGAUACAGAAAUCUAUGGAGCAGCACUAAUUUUUGAGCUUUUGUCGGUUGCUAUCAUCAUCAAAGAUGACUUUGGUCACAACAUCAUUUAAUGAGAAGAUUGCAACUUUUUGUACAUUUAACAAUAUUGUACACAAGCACGGUAUCUUGCAUAUUUUUAGUGCUAAAUUAUUCAAGAAUUUAAUGUUAGCAUCAGUUUAUAUGGUGCAUAAAUUUUAGAAUCGGCUUGACUUGGUGUAUUAAUUUGUCAAAGAAAAGAUGAUAAUUAUCUACUGCCGUUUUUUACAACAACACAAGCUAUUGCAUGAUGAUGUUGAUUCUACUAAGAUGGAACAACCGUAGUAGUACUAUAACCGAAUGUGAAGCAUCUAAGUUACUAUAUUCUACAGAUAAAUGAAACAUUUACUUCACAUGGUACACAAAUAAGUAUAAAGCCAUCCCAGUUGGUUGCAAAAUGAAAUUAAAUAUAUCACUGCAUAACUUUGAUCAUAGUUCGAAGUUAAAAUGAUUAUUUGAUAACUUCAACUACAAUUAAUUUUUGUGGGCCAAGCUGUGCGAAUGCACGGGUUGACGACUAGUAUUUCUAAAGAAAAUACAGAUGUGUGUGCACCUUCCACAAACACAUGCAUUGCCAUAUAAAGAUACUAAAAUAUUCAAAUGUUUAUCAUAAUGUUUUAUUAUUUUUCAAAAGGAAAAACAACCAUACUAUUUUACAGUGGUUUAUCUGUUCGAGAUCAUAUCAUAAAGUUUCAUUCAGUGUCAAUACACUGAAAACUUAUCAGGUUUUUCGUGUUCUAGAUUGCAUUAUUAUGUUUCAUAGAGUUUCAUCAUGUUCUGAAAUAUUAUAUUGCAUUAUUAUGUUUCAUAGAGUUUCAUCAUGUUCUGAAAUAUGAACUUUAAAACCACUCAAAAUAUAUUCAACGGCAGUUUUGUUUCCAAGUCCUAAUCGCGAGGAACUCAAAUAGCAAUUGUGUGAUUAAAAAAAUAAAAUAGAUUGAAGCUUUGAAAUUAUAUGAAAAAAUAUGAAUGGGCGAGGUAUUAUUGUGCGUCAGGGAUAUAGAAGAGAGGUUGCUAAUGUAUGGCAUAUUUUGUGACUGAUUGAUGUGACUUGAGUGGGGACCAACAUGCAUGCAUCUUCAAUAGAAUGCACGGCUGAAUCAUGUCACAGGUCUCCGGUGCAGGGUAGAAUUUCUUUCGUCGGUGGCUUGUCUCUUGUUUUUACAUAAGGAUCGGAUCUAUUAUGAUAAAGAUUCACUGGAUUCCGUACAAAGCACCUCUAAAAUAAUAAUAAAAUAUAUCAAGGUCCACAGACCCGAACGACCGUUGCUGCCGCUAGGACGAGACGACGUGUCCCUGUCUUUGCGUCAUAGCCAGCCUGACCUUGUCAACGAUCUUGUCAACGGGAAGUCUUCAUACAAGUGUCCCUAAAUAUCAUCGCCAUGUAGCCAUCGUUGAUUGCCUAGACAAAUCUACUUCGCUUGUCUAUUAAGGGAGCAAAAAGUUCUCUUUUUAUUUAAUUUUAUAAGGUGGAAGUUUAGGACCAAACCAAUUUAAUUGUAGUAUUUGUUUCGUCUUCACGUGUUCUUAGUAACGAAAAUGGAAAGGAAAAAAACGAGAUGUUUCUUGAGAAAUGCCAGGGGGCUAGAGAAUGCAAUGUAUUCGGGCCGUCUUCUCUCCUUUUGUUAUUUACUAGGACAAUGUCUGUAGGUUUAUUUUUGGGAUAAAGGGAGUUUUGUUUCUGUGUAAUAGUGUUACAGUCAAGAGGCCACAAAUUCUUAGUACAAGGUGGAGCCCAGACCAACCGCACAGUAGUUGUACUCUCGGUACGGCUAUAUUUGGCCAGCCGAUCUGCAACUCGAAGAAUUUCUGAGAAUAAAACUCCCUAAUGCACAUUAACUCUUUGAUCUACGAAGAAUUUUCUGAGGAUAAAACUCCCAACCGCACCUUAACUCUUUGAUCUACGAAGAAUUGUCUAAGGAUAAAACUCCCUAAUGCACAUUAACUCUUUGAUCACCCGAGCCAAAGAACCGUACGCAGAAGGUUCCAGUCCACUGUUUGACAAGCAAGAUAGUGCUUCCCACGAGUCUGACUGAACGAUAACCGGAAGUAUAAAUAAUGCCAGUAGGUUACAAUGAAUAUAAAUAAUCUAUUAUGAUAGACCAUGAUUUACCUGUCUAUAAUACAACUGUUUUCUUAGGGGAGGCUAUUAAUACAAUUGUGUAAAUAAAUUUUUGGGUUAUAAAUAAUCCAUUACGUUAAAUUGUGAUUUGCCUAUAUAUAUUAAGACAAUUAUGUAAUAAAUGUUUAUCAAAUCUUCUUCGUGAUUUACCUUAUUUUGAUAAGAAGUUUUGUAAGUAAACUAAAAUUAAAUUGGUUCAGAAGAUAAAUAAAAUUAAAAUGAUUAAUUAUCAUACGGGGAGGUUAGACGAAGGGGUCAGGAAAAGAAAAAUGAAACAUUGACACCUUUAGAUAGAUAGAUAUAGAUAUAAGUAUAAUAUAGAUAGAUAGAUAUAGAUUAUACCAGGCCAUCUGUCGGGUCGGGCCUACCAAAGCCCGAUGCAAAAAAACCUAGGCCCGAGCCCGGCCCAUCAGUCAAAAAGCCCGGCGGGUCUCAGGCCACGGGUCGGGCCUCUUCCUUAAACGAUGAAUAUGUCAGGCCCGAGCCCGGCCUGGCCUGACUGUCGGGCCUAAAAAUCAAGCCCAAGCCCAGCCCGUGGGCAAGGUCGGGUCGGGCCGUCAGGGCCGGGUUGCCCAUGGCCAAGUAUAAUAUAGAUAUAGAUAUAGUAUAGUAGAUAGAUAGAUAGAUAGAUAGAUAGAUAGAUAGAUAGAGACUAUGGACUAUGGACUUUUUCCCUUCUAGUCAAGGAUUUUUUACGGCUUUCUAGCUAGGGCUUGAGAAGCUCCCAAGGAACGCAGGACCUAUAUCUAUAUCUCACUUAUAACGAGAUGGUAGCUCCCCUCAUCAGCAGCAGCAGAGAGCUCUGAUUUGACACUCGGGUGAAGCAAGAGAGCAAGUGCAGAAGAGAGAUGGGGUCCCCUCGCCGCAUGUCCGUCGCGCCCACCGCCCUCCUCAUCCUACUCCUCCUCGUCGCCACGGGUACAUCCGGCGAGCUUCCUCCCUUCCAUCAAUCGAGCAACUAUAAACUGUAAUUAAUCACCGGCGCUUAAUUGCUUUGUGUGGUGGUUGCAUUGCAGAGAUGGGGACGAUGAAGGUGGUGGAGGCCCGGACGUGCCAGUCGAGGAGCCACAAAUUCAAGGGCGGCUGCUUCAGCGACAGCAAUUGCGCCAACGUGUGCCACACCGAGAACUUCCCCCGCGGGACCAUGGCGUUGGCGCUGGCGUUGCUGCCCAUCAUUGAAACGCCAAGGGACCAUGGCGUUGCUCCCCUUAACAAAUAAGUGACAAUAAAAGAACUUGCUCCAAACGCCACACACUUUGGCGUUUCACACUUGGGAACAAACGCCACACAUGCUGGCGUUCCCAGCAACGCCACAAGGGCUGGCGUUUCUACAUUGAAACCUAGCUAUUUGACCAGGCCAGCAACGCUGCCUAGUUCGGCGUUUUUAAAUAGAGCAGAAACGCCACGGCUAGCGGCGUUACCAAAAGGGUUAGAUCGUGAAAUAGUUUUCGAAGGAGUUCAUUUUGUGCCAAGAUUUGCUAAGAAGGUCAAAACAGUGAAAAAGCCCCAUUACGUCGAGCCCAAGUGCUACUGCGAGCGGGAUUGUUGACCUUAGGAUGACCAGAAAUAAAGAAGCUCCAUCGGUGUUGCAUCUUCAUCUUCAUGCAUGCAUACAUGCAUGUUGUUUAGGUGAAGAUCGGGCCUGGCUCCGGCGUGUUUGCGGCUUCAAUUAGUUUGUGAGGUUAAUUAUACUAAUAACGAUGCAAGCCACUGAUGCAUGUGGCUUAUAUGUGUUGUGAUGUGUUGUUUCUAUGUGUUGUUGUGUUGGAUUCAGUCAAUCUGCAGAUAGUUGGUUUGUCUUUUUUUUUCAAAAGGAUCAGAUCUGUUACGAUAUAGAUUCACCGGAUUCCGUACAAAGCAACCCUGAAAUAAUUAAAAAAACAUCAAAGUCC
rnacentral:lncRNA from 1 species